UCUUCGCACCCGCACAAAACAGUGAUUGCACAUACUUCAAAGGUACCGGUAAUCUGCCGGUCAUGAUUUCGUAAUUCGCGCCGUACGCGUUCCAGCCGAUUUUGUUCUUUCUUUCAAUUUCAUUUUCAUGAUCGCGGUCACCCUUGACUAAUCGACUUCGAUGUGCGUAUUCUUUCGCCGAUUCUUGAGGUUGACUAACAAGCGCACAUUUUCAUUCUCUUGCUCGGCAAUUGAACAUUACCUUAGUCUGCUGCUUAUUAAUAGUCAACCUUACUCUUCUAUUCUGUCGACUUGGUCUUACCAUAAAGAUCAUAUCUUACGUGUAACACCAAAUGUGAUAAUAGAAAAAGAAAGGUAGCACAGCGCAGGGAUAUACACGGGGUAAUUUCGGUAAGCAACAUCUGGGGCAAUCACUUCUCGGGCGAUCAUUUUCAGAGACGAUCAUGCCGGAUCUGUGCGUUUCUGGUCCUGUGCCAAGCUCGCUAUCUGAAUGGUGUACAGAAUAGACGGUCAACGUUUGGUGCCCUCACCUCCUUCACCAUGUUUCUCACAUAGGUGUGCGUUGUCUUCUUUUUCAUUGGCACCGGGGACGAAUGGCACGAGUUCGACAUGUUCGUGUCCUGCACCUAUCUUUCGGGCAAAGACGAUACUGGCCUUUCGAGCGUCACGACCAGGUGAAGCGGGGGAGGCAGCACAGGGGGCGACUGCACAAGUCAAACCAGCGAGGGCCAGCAUCUGUCCGAAGAAUCGCGCCUUGUAGGCGUCCAUGGGCGCAUGGUCCGGGAAGCCCUGGUCAGAGAGCGUCUCUUGCCGGCAGCGGAACACUAAGACCCAGUUCUUCAUCCGCUGCCUGGACUCGAACAUUGCCUCUGGUGACGGGUUGUCCGGCGCCACUCGGGAGACUGCGGUGUGCAAGGUUCACCUGACUACAGGGGCAGUGAGAUGAACAGCAUCCGCAGCCUCACGCUCAUGUCAGGCCACAGGUGCCCAAUGCGAGCAACGUAGGUGACACAGUGCUCCAGCCUUGCCGGUGGCAUGAACAGUCGGCGAUGUGUCCGCGCAGCCGGCUGCUCCCCUUUGGAUGUCUCUCGGCCAAGAUGUCCAGCAGGGUGUAACCGUCUUGCUCUGCAUGUUGAAGUGCAAAUGUAUAUAUAUUUUGUUCAAGUGGCUCGGCUACUCAUAUGGGCAGAUAUGUAUGUUUUGCUACGUUCUGACAUUAUUUCAUGUCAGCGAUGCGCCGUUUCCACAAUAUUUGAAGCUCACAAUUGAUGAUCUGUCGCUGUAUAUGUAGACGCAAAAAAAUGCACCGCUAUGUUUAAUCCGACGCGCAAGGCUGCGCUCUAAGACGCACUGAAUAUGCUAAAUCUCUAAAGAAUGUGUAAAACGACAGAAAAAGCGAGUUCCAAGUGCGGAAAUCUCCAAGAACAAACUACAAGACAGCCGCGUAUGCAGAAGGAACUCGGCGUGCCUUUAACGGCCGCACUAUGACGCAACAGCACGCUGUGGUUUGCUCAUCCAGUGGUCGGUUAGUGCGGCAUGCCUUCCAGCUACGACAUGCUUCCCAGGGGAAGCCAAACACGAUGUACGAAGCGCAUUAACGACGCGCACUGAACAUGGGCGGUGGUACAGAAAUCAACGGGUGAAAGCCCCUGCUCCCUUCCUAAGCGUUGCCAGUGGCAUGCGACAGACGGUACCAGAGCAAAAUGGAAAAAGGCGGAUUAGUAUCGGAAGCAUGCUGUAAACUAUAAACUAUUUUUCUUUUGUGAGCUGGACGCUUUCGGACUAAUCGUGCGUUUCCGGACAGUCUGCUAGUGCUGAACUUCAUAAAGCACAAUGGGAGGCAACAUCAGCGUAAAUUCAAACGCGAACAAUUCUGAAACUGUUCGAACACAUUUCUUUCCGUUUCCAGGUUCACCUGCAUUUGUAAAUGUGCUUCUGAUUGAUACUUCAAAACGAAAACUCGACACUACUACUGCAUACUUAGCUGCCUACACAUCAAUUAGAUUCCGUGCAAUUAGGUUAACAGGCACUCGAAUCGGUUAUUACCUGGUCAUGUUUCUAUCUAUGAUAAUGGUACAGGGAUUCUAAUGGGAAUUAUAGCCAAUUUGCAAAAAACAAAAAAGAAUAGGCCUUCAUUUUGAUGGUAUCCAAAUGUCGGUACUCCAUGCACACCGUUUGGUUAGGCUAACUUCAUGUGUACCUUGCAAUCGGAGCAAAUAAGCACGCGUCAGUAUCAUAAUGCACAUAAUGUGCCGAUUAUUCCUUGGACUCAUGUUUUCGGCAAACUUUGGUUGCCUUGACAAAGCAGUAGUCUGCAAUUCACAGGUCAAUAUUUGAACCAUUGAGUUCUGUGCAAUUAAAAAGACGGGCCAUAA